rnacentral:rRNA from 1 species
GACGAACGCUGGCGGCGUGCUUAACACAUGCAAGUCGAACGGUAAGGCCCUUCGGGUACACGAGUGGCGAACGGGUGAGUAACACGUGGUGAUCUGCCCUGCACUUCGGGAUAAGCCUGGGAAACUGGGUCUAAUACCGGAUAGGACUCCUGGCUUCAUGGUUGGGGUGUAAAGCUUUUGCGGUGUGGGAUGGGCCCGCGGCCUAUCAGCUUGUUGGUGGGGUAAUGGCCUACCAAGGCGACGACGGGUAGCCGGCCUGAGAGGGUGACCGGCCACACUGGGACUGAGAUACGGCCCAGACUCCUACGGGAGGCAGCAGUGGGGAAUAUUGCACAAUGGGCGCAAGCCUGAUGCAGCGACGCCGCGUGAGGGAUGACGGCCUUC